rnacentral:rRNA from 1 species
AACGAACGCUGGCGGCAUGCCUAACACAUGCAAGUCGAACGAGUGGCGGACGGGUGAGUAAUGCCUGGGAACCCGUCCCAUGGUGGGGGAUAAUUUCUGGAAACCGUAGCUAAUACCGCAUUCCAUCGGAUGUGCCCAGCUGCGCUUGGCUAGUAGGUGGGGUAAAGGCUCACCUUGGCGACGAUCCCUAGCUGGUCGGAGGGGCUGACCGGCAACACUGGAACUGAGGCACGUGCCAAACUCCUACGGGAGGAAGGAGUGGGGCAUAUUGCGCAAUGGGAGCAAGCCUGAAAGAGCCAUGCCGCGUGGAUGAAGAGGGGCUACGGGUUGUAAAGUACUUUCAGCAGGAAGACGGUACCCGCAGAAGAAGCACCGGCUAACUACGUGCCAGCAGCCGCGGUAAUUC